AGUGAACGCUGGCGGCGUGCCUAAUACAUGCAAGUCGAACGAAGUGGCGCACGGGUGAGUAAUAUAUAGUUAAUCUGCCCUACACAGAGGAACAACAGUUGGAAACGACUGCUAAUACCUCAUAGUGUAGUAUGAGACUAUAUCGUAUCAGCUAGUUGGUAAGGUAAUGGCUUACCAAGGCUAUGACGCGUAACUGGUCGGAGAGGAUGAUCAGUCACAUUGGAACUGAGAGAAGGUCCAAACUACGACGGGAGGGAGCAGUAAGGAAUAUUGCGCAAUGGGGGAAACCAUGAAGGAGCAACGGGGUGUGGAGGAUGAGACUUUUAGGAGAGUAAACUCCUUUUAUCAGGAAAGCGGUACCUGAUGAAUAAGCACCGGCUAACUCCGUGCCAGCAGCCGCGGUAAUUC
rnacentral:rRNA from 1 species